CCUACGGGUGGCAGCAGUGAGGAAUAUUGGUCAAUGGACGAGAGUCUGAACCAGCCAAGUAGCGUGAAGGAUGACUGCCCUCUGGGUUGUAAACUUCUUUUAUAUGGGAGUAAAACAGAGUAUGCAUACCCUCUUGUCUGUACCAUAUUAAUUAGGAUCGGCUAACUCAGUGCCAGCAGCCGCGGUACUACGGAGGAUUCAAGCGUUAUCCGGAUUUGUUGGGUUUAAAGGGUGCGUAGGCGGUUCGAUAAGUCAGAGGUGAAAUCCCUGGGCUCAACUCCGGCACUGCCUCUGAUACUGUAGGGCUAGAGUUUAGGUGCGGUAGGCGGAAUGUAUGGUGGAGCGGUGAAAUGCAUAGAGAUCAGACAGAACACCGAUUGCGAAGGCAGCUUACCAAACUAUGACUGACGUUGAGGCACGAAAGCGUGGGGAGCAAACAGGAUUAGAUACCCUAGUAGUC
rnacentral:rRNA from 1 species